rnacentral:rRNA from 1 species
UACGUAGGGGGCAAGCGUUGUCCGGAAUCAUUGGGCGUAAAGAGCGCGUAGGCGGUCCGGUAAGUCCGCUCUGAAAGUCCGGGGCUCAACCCCGGGAGGCGGGCGGAUACUGUCGGGCUAGAGUCCGGAAGAGGCGAGUGGAAUUCCUGGUGUAGCGGUGAAAUGCGCAGAUAUCAGGAGGAACACCUAUGGCGAAGGCAGCUCGCUGGGACGUUACUGACGCUGAGACGCGAAAGCGUGGGGAGCAAACAGG